CAGUAGCCGCGGGAAUACGGAGGGGGCUAGCGUUGUUCGGAAUUACUGGGCGUAAAGCGCAUGUAGGCGGCUUUGUAAGUUAGAGGUGAAAGCCCGGAGCUCAACUCCGGAAUUGCCUUUAAGACUGCAGAGCUAGCAGGUGAGAGAGGUGAGUGGAAUUCCGAGUGUAGAGGUGAAAUUCGUAGAUAUUCGGAAGAACACCAGUGGCGAGGGCGGCUCACUGGCUCAUACUGGACGCUGAGGUGCGAAAGCGUGGGGAGCAAACAGGAUUAGAUACCCGAGUAGUCCCUGUCUCUUAUAC
rnacentral:rRNA from 1 species